UACGGAGGGUGCAAGCAUUAAUCGGAAUUAUUGGGCGUAAAGGGCGCGUAGGCGGAUAUAUAAGUCAGAUGUGAAAUUCCGAGACUCAAUUUCGGAGCUGCAUUUGAAACUGUAAGUCUGGAGGUAUGGCGGAGAAAACGGAAUUCCACGUGUAGCGGUGAAAUGCGUAGAUAUGUGGAAGAACACCUGUGGCGAAAGCGGUUUUCUAGCUAUGACCUGACGCUGAGGCGCGAGAGCAAGGGGAGCAAACAGG
rnacentral:rRNA from 1 species